AUUGAACGCUGGCGGCAUGCUUUACACAUGCAAGUCGAACGGCAGCGCGGGCUUCGGCCUGGCGGCGAGUGGCGAACGGGUGAGUAAUACAUCGGAACGUGCCCAGUAGUGGGGGAUAGCUCGGCGAAAGCCGGAUUAAUACCGCAUACGACUUGAGGGUGAAAGCGGGGGAUCUUCGGACCUCGCGCUAUUGGAGCGGCCGAUGGCAGAUUAGCUAGUUGGUGGGGUAAAGGCCUACCAAGGCGACGAUCUGUAGCUGGUCUGAGAGGACGACCAGCCACACUGGGACUGAGACACGGCCCAGACUCCUACGGGAGGCAGCAGUGGGGAAUUUUGGACAAUGGGCGAAAGCCUGAUCCAGCAAUGCCGCGUGUGUGAUGAAGGCCUUCGGGUUGUAAAGCACUUUUGGCGGGAACGAAAAGGACUGUGCCAAUACCACGGUUCGAUGACGGUACCCGAAGAAUAAGCACCGGCUAACUACGUG
rnacentral:rRNA from 1 species